AUUGAACGCUGGCGGCAGGCCUAACACAUGCAAGUCGAACGAGUGGCGGACGGGUGAGUAAUGUCUGGGAAACUGCCCGAUGGAGGGGGAUAACUACUGGAAACGGUAGCUAUUACCGCAUACCAUCGGAUGUCCCCAGAUGGGAUUAGCUCGUAGGUAGGGUAACGGCUCACCUAGGCGACGAUCCCUAGAUGGUCUGAGAGGAUGACCAGCAACACGGGAACUGAGACACGGUCCAGACUCCUACGGGAGGCAGCAGUGGGGAAUAUUGCACAAUGGGCGCAAGCGUGAUGCAGCCAUGCCGCGUGUAUGAAGAAGGCCUACGGGUGGUAAAGUACUUUCAGCGAGGAGGCGUUACUCGCAGAAGAAGCACCGGCUAACUCCGUGCCAGCAGCCGCGGUAAUUC
rnacentral:rRNA from 1 species